ensembl:lncRNA
UUUGGGCCCAAGUUUCCUAGUCAGGGGUGCCUAGCCCCAGAGAUCAAUGAAGAGGGUUGUUGGGGAGGAGGCUUUGGGUAGGUGAGGUGCCAAGGCUUCAGAAGAGAUCUGGACGCUGGCUGGAGAGGCAGGAGGAAGGAGGGAAGGCUAUGGGUGCCCCAAGCUGCUGCCUGGCAGGUCCCCGUACCCAGGCUAGGGAAGUUUGUUAUUUCUCCUGCUCCGACUUCCCCCUUUGAUUUAUUAUAGCCAUGAAAUGCUCUGCUCUCUUCUCUUUUCCUUGCUGUACCCCGGGGUUGGAGGAACACAGGCCUCCCCAGGCCCCAGGAUUCAGCCUUACUGGACUACCAUCUCUUUCCAAGGGCAGGGCAUGGGGACCAGGAAUGAGAGCAGUCCCAGUUAGAGCAGAGAAAGAUGGCUGAACAGAGCUGUACGAGCCUCUGACCGUGGCAUCCGGGAAGCAGAAACAGAAGACCUGUAAGUUCAAGGCCAGAAAAAAAAAAAAAAGAAUAAAGAAAGAAUAACCCAGAUCGAUAAGGACCUGGUUAUAGAAACCGUGACCACGAGACACUAUCCAGCAACGACAAGAACCACAGCAACAUGCAUCCACACGGGCCACAGGGGCGAUACCCAAGUUCCUGCAAGUUUCCUCUAUCAUUUUCUGUUAUGAAAAUAAAUUAGAAAGCCAGUCUAGGUUAGAGAGGGAGUUCCAGGCUAACCAGACCGGCAUGGGUCAAUUGUAAGUAAGCGAGUACAUUAAAUAAAUAAAAGCGAAGAACUAGAAUGUACAUCUAGACACGUUUAUAAGGAAGAGCAGACAGGGCUGUAGCUGAGUCUUGGCCGGUACUCGCGAGACCUUUAUUUCAAUCCCCAGUACCACAAAGAAGCAGGACUGAGGGACAGGCUGGGAAUCCCAGCUUCUGGAGAAAAUGAGAUGAGUGUGUGUCUGGGGGUGGGCAGGAAGUUCCAGACCUGCUGGGCAAUUCAGUGACAUUUUGUUUCAUAUUAAACUGUAAAGGGAAGCCAGGAAGAUACAACUCAGUGGUAGAGCACUUGCCUGCCUUAUGUGAGGCCCUGGGUUCAGCCUCAGUGCAAGACAGAAAGAAAAAUCAAGGAAAUAAAGUUAGGGUACAGUUCCUUCUAGAAGGAAAUGAGGGGAGGGCACCUAGGGCUUGCUUCAACCUGGGCUUCUCUCUCCUGGCUUUCUUUAACAGCUCCAUUCCCAGACCUGAUGUUCAUGUCUUCGCCCGGGUAAUUAUGUCCCAGGUGUUAACCCCACAGUUAUUUUUCGCCGCCCCUACGUAUGUUCUGUACUCUGUUUUAUGAAUGGUGUCCCAUGGUCUGCAGAUACACAGCCGGACGGGGAGACACACAUUCAGUGCCUCGCUGCUGGGUUUGUUCUUUUCUGUUUUUCAGUACCUGGGAAUCAAACUCGUGGCCUUGCGCUUGUUAGGGAAGCACUCUAAACACUGGGGUACAUCUUCAGCUGUAGUCCUUGCUACUUAUGAGAUUGAGGGUCACUCGAGCCCAGGAAUUUGGGGAUAACCAUCACAAGACACUAUCUCAAUAAAAUAAAUACGUUUUUUAUAUGUAUUUAGUGUGUGUGCAUCGUGGCCUGCGGUGAGGGCGUGCAUGCGAGCUAUGCACAUGUGCGGAGGU